AUGGGCCCUGGCAGCGUGCUUCAAAAGCAGAGCCCAUCCCUAGAAGAAGUGCUUGCAGUUGCCCCAGUAAUGAAUGGCUGGGACGCGAUCCAGCGGGAAGGUAAUGAAGCACUUUGGAGACAAGGAGUAUGUGCUCUGCAAGGCAAGAGAAAGAGCUGUUUUCCAGUGGCCUCCCAGGCCAGGAGUUGCACAGCUUUUGGACGCGUGCUGGCCUUGUGCAGCCCGCCAGGGAGAUGGGCUGCGCAAAGCCUCCUGAUGGUCUGGUGGAGAAGAACAGCUACAGGAGAGGAGCAGAAAUCAAUGUCAGGGAUGGGAAUAAAGGCAACAGAGGCAGUGCUCGUACAAAACCAGCCCAGCAAAAGGAAGGUGUCAGCAGCCAUGGACGUACCGAGAGGAGCACGGACACUCAGAAGAUCUGCUGGCCAAGUGAGCAGUGACAGAAACUGCCAGCCUCUGAGAUGGGCUCUUCUGGCUUACUCUGGAGCUGUUCUUCAAGGCAAGUGUUACAUCUGCUCUGUGCCACCAGCAUGUCAGCAGGGAGCUGGGGCAGCUGUGGCCUUUGGGAAGAGAGGGCACCCAUCCUCAGCGUGCAGCAGAGAGCAGUACAACAGUAUGUGAGCCAGAACCCAGAAGUCCAUCAUACUGGGCACACUGCAAACUACCCUAAGUGUCUCAUAGUGGAUUUUGUUCAGAUCAAGCUCAGAUAAUUCAGUCAUAAGGAGUCUUCCAUGCCCACUGUUCUAGGAUUUUCUUGCAUUUGACUCUCUUUAGUUAGUUUAUUUCAAAGGAAAAUACUGCUUCAGAACUAAAAACUGGAAACUUUGGACAUUCCCAGCAAUUUUCUCACUUUUUGACAAACUGCUCAAAUUGACUAAGUUCUCAAAUAUUUUGGUUGUCCUAAACUAUAUAUAUAUAUAUAUACACAUAUAUAUUUUCUGGAAGAUGUGCUAUGAAAAUAUGAAAUUUUCUGUUCUACUUUUCGAAAUAUUUCUCAUUUGUAUAAAUUCAAGUAAUAACCACACAGCAUUAAGGGGGAUGCCAUACUGCUCUCCACUGAAAAUGGACACGGGUUAUCAUGUAAUUCAGCUCAGACCUUGUGCAUAUUGUAUGGCUGAACACUGUGCUAUAAUAAGGAAAAUGAGUUUCUAUCCUGUUUACCUUCUGUGACAUGGGACCAAAUUGUUUCUCUGAACUGAAAUACACUCUAGCAAACGCUAUUUCUCAGUUUCAAAAUUUGACUAAACCCUAAUUCUGUUGCCAUCAAGAUCUAAACAAAUGGUGUAGAGAUACCUAAGGGAGCAAGUGAUUUUGUGUUUGCUAUAAGACAGCGUUAAAGAGUCAAAAUAGUCCAUUAGAAGCAGAUGUACCUGUACCUCCUUCUGGCCAGCUGUGAGUUCCACCUCUGAAGAACCAUUUCUGUUGUUUUUAAACCAAACAAAGGAACAAAACUAUUUCAAAAGGCCAUAAAGCCUGCUAAGAUGAAUGUGAGGGGCCCAGAAGAAUCAUCUUCCAGUUCAAUGUAGCUUUAUUAAAACUAUCUGGAGCAAGUAAAGCAGUUCAAGAUAGUGUGAUCCAGGAAAGGGUGGUGGGGCCUGAGAGUGAAAGUGUUUUUGUCUCAUCAUUGAUCUCUAGCAAGAUGUUUCACCUUUCUUUUCUGGUCUCGUAUCUUGAUUUGUCUAAUUUGUAUAUUUAGACUGGGAACUCCAUAGCUGAAACUAUUCUGUCCUACAUAAGAAACAUGUGUAUUCAGUUUCGGGGUUAAUAAGAACAGGACUAUUUCUAUGGAAUACGUAUGUAUAAGGGGAGACCUACUGAUUUUGAAAGCUUCUGGUGAAAAAUGCUUGUGUGAGUACAAAAGUUCAAGCGAGGCUAUUAUUAUUCCAUUUCCAUAUGAAUUAUCUAAACAGUUUGUGUCUGGGCUUAAUAUGCAGCUACUAAAACCAGAGUUCAUAUUAUGGGCAGAUGGAAUAGGCAAAGGAUGUGAUAGCCACUGUGAAAUCUGGCUGUUACUUGGUGAACCUCGUGGGUUAGGUCUCUGCUUCCACUUCUGACCUACUUCUAUAGGAGGCUGAGGAAGAUGUGAUGGGGGCUGCCGCUGUGCCCAUCUGCUCUGAGAGCUAGUCAGUGCCAGUAAAGAUGCUGUUACACAUUUUUGUCUCAGGUACCCAGAUACAUUUGUAGCUUCAAUUUGAGCUGAAAAGAGGUGAAUGAUAAGCCAACAUUCCUCCUCAGCUGUCCUGCAGAAAAGCCCUGGGCUACAGCUUAGCCUUAAGCCUUCACUAGCACAACCCAAAACCUCCUGGGUAGAGUUCAAAGAACAAAAGCCUCCUCGUGCACAGCUGAUACUCUUUCACCUGUCCUGCCCCAUGGAGCCAGAACAAGGCAAUAGAAGUCUUGAGAAAGACUUUCUUACCAUCAGCUGUUCAAAACAUCUGCAACCUGUAGAAUCAUAGAAUCAUUAAGGUUGGAAGAGACCUUCAAGAUCAUCUAGUCCAACCAUCAACCUAGCAGUGUACUUUCUUUAUUAUUGUUCUUUAUUUCAGAAAGUGUAUUUUCUUCACAUCUUUUCAAACUGCUGGCCAUACAAUAGCUUGGAAACUAGAGCAGGUAGAACAGCUUUUUAAACAAAACCUCUCAUUUUGUCAAGAAUGCAGCUUUAUACAAAUAAAGUAGAUUAAGUUUGAAGUAGUUUUCUUUUU
ensembl:lncRNA